rnacentral:rRNA from 1 species
CCUUAGUACGGCGAGUGAAGCGGCAAUAGCUCAAAUUUGAAAUCUGGCUCUUUCAGGGUCCGAGUUGUAAUUUGUAGAGGAUGUUUCGGAUAAGGCUUGGGUCUAAGUUCCUUGGAACAGGACGUCAUAGAGGGUGAGAAUCCCGUCUUGGUCCCUAUGCCGCGUCCAUGUGAAACUCCUUCGACGAGUCGAGUUGUUUUGGGAAU